GCCCCUAUAGCUCAGUGGUAGAGCGCAGCACUCGUAUCACGUGUUGUUCCAACAAGUCAAAUCCGACAUGCUGAGGUCCAUCGUUCAAUCCGGUGUGGGGGCA
rnacentral:tRNA from 1 species